rnacentral:lncRNA from 1 species
UUAUAGACCACAUACUUUAUGAACAAGUGAAAACAGAGUAUCUCCUGCAAAGAACAGAAUUCACAUGAUAGGAACUUCAAAAUUGCCCGGCAUGCUGUGGAUCCUCGCUGAAUUGUUAUUAAACAACUUUCCACUCAAAAAAUGUACUUGUGUAUCCCGAGGGUGGCCUAUUUUGACCCGCUGCUAUGAAAUCACUGCUACAAAAAGUAAGCUAACUUGGAGAAAUGAGGGAAUUUUAUGACAAAAUAUUUGAGAAAUAAUUUGGCAUUUCUCUAAAGCUGUAAAGGUUUAUAAAUAAAUAUAUACUGAU